CAGGAAUGAUCUGGCGCAUCGACUCCAGAGCUAAGAUCAGGUCCACCAGUGAAAGUGAAGCCAGUGACCAGAUAUGACCUGCAGGUCCUGCUUCACCCAUCCCAUCCGCAACACCAGUCUUCAGCAUUUACCAGAAGAUUAUUGCAGCUUUGCCAGAAAUUAGAAGUUCACUUCAGAUGUCUUUGAUCAUGGGAUUACAUCUUUAACAACAGGGUUUAAACUUUGAUUUUUGCCUGAAUUUGAUUUUUCCCACACAUUAAAAAUUAGAUUUAACCUGUUGUUACUGUUUUUUUUAAACACUUUUCCCAACAACAUUUUAGUUAAACCUGUGUCAAGGGAAAUGUCAUUAUCAUAUAUUUGUUUUAUCUACAUUUAUCCAAUCAGUAAAUCAGUCUUAGUACCAGGCAUUUAUUGGAUUACU